AUCACUUCUUGGCCUUUUGGCUAAGAUCAAGUGUAGUAUCUGUUCUUAUCCACUGAAAUAAAGGCAAUCCCAAAAUGAAGGCAGUUUAGGUAACUUGGAAAGGCACAUUCCUCUUAUCUAUGCCAUCCUUGCUUUAAUACUACAUCUCUCCCUCAACACACAUGCACGUGCAUACACACACGCAUGUGCAUACACACA